rnacentral:rRNA from 1 species
UACGAAGGGGGCUAGCGUUGUUCGGAAUUACUGGGCGUAAAGCGCACGUAGGCGGACAUUUAAGUCAGGGGUGAAAUCCCGGGGCUCAACCCCGGAACUGCCCUUGAAACUGGAGAGCUAGAAUCUUGGAGAGGCGAGUGGAAUUCCGAGUGUAGAGGUGAAAUUCGUAGAUAUCGGAAGAAACACCAGUGGCGAAGGCGACUCGCUGGACAAGUAUUGACGCUGAGGUGCGAAAGCGUGGGGAGCAAACAGGGAUUAAGAAACCCUGGUA